GAAGAACAAGCGGAGGAAGGAGAAAGUGGCACCACAACAGGAGCUUUGAUGGCUGGGGACGGCUUGGAUACACACAGCGCCCAGCUGCUAAUUGGCGAGGUGAUGGCCUGCUGUGCUGACAUGGAGGACAUCAACACAAGUUUGGGGCAGAUAAG